rnacentral:rRNA from 1 species
UUAAUGAGAGUUUGAUCCUGGCUCAGGACGAACGCUGGCGGCGUGCCUAAUACAUGCAAGUAGAACGCUGAGGUUUGGUGUUUACACUAGACUGAUGAGUUGCGAACGGGUGAGUAACGCGUAGGUAACCUGCCUCAUAGCGGGGGAUAACUAUUGGAAACGAUAGCUAAUACCGCAUAAGAGUAAUUAACACAUGUUAGUUAUUUAAAAGGAGCAAUUGCUUCACUGUGAGAUGGACCUGCGUUGUAUUAGCUAGUUGGUGAGGUAAAGGCUCACCAAGGCGACGAUACAUAGCCGACCUGAGAGGGUGAUCGGCCACACUGGGACUGAGACACGGCCCAGACUCCUACGGGAGGCAGCAGUAGGGAAUCUUCGGCAAUGGACGGAAGUCUGACCGAGCAACGCCGCGUGAGUGAAGAAGGUUUUCGGAUCGUAAAGCUCUGUUGUUAGAGAAGAACGUUGGUAGGAGUGGAAAAUCUACCAAGUGACGGUAACUAACCAGAAAGGGACGGCUAACUACGUGCCAGCAGCCGCGGUAAUACGUAGGUCCCGAGCGUUGUCCGGAUUUAUUGGGCGUAAAGCGAGCGCAGGCGGUUCUUUAAGUCUGAAGUUA